rnacentral:rRNA from 1 species
CAGCCGCCACGGUAAUACGUAGGGUGCAAGCGUUAAUCGGAAUUACUGGGCGUAAAGCGUGCGCAGGCGGUUAUAUAAGACAGAUGUGAAAUCCCCGGGCUCAACCUGGGAACUGCAUUUGUGACUGUAUAGCUAGAGUACGGCAGAGGGGGAUGGAAUUCCGCGUGUAGCAGUGAAAUGCGUAGAUAUGCGGAGGAACACCGAUGGCGAAGGCAAUCCCCUGGGCCUGUACUGACGCUCAUGCACGAAAGCGUGGGGAGCAAACAGGAUUAGAUACCCCAGUAGUCCCUGUCUCUUAUAC